rnacentral:rRNA from 1 species
UCUCCGUUGGUGAACCAGCGGAGGGAUCAUUACAGAGUUGCAUGCUCCGUAAAACCAUUGUGAACGUUACCUAUACCGUUAUGCCUGCUGAGGGCCCCGGGGUUUACCCCCCGGGCGCCCCUGGGCCCCACCGCGGGCGCCCGCCGGAGGUCACCAAACUCUUGAUAAUUUAUAUGCCUCGUGAUUCUUCUGUACUGAAUAAGUCAAAACUUUCAAUGCCUCGUAGUAGGGUUCUGGCAUCGAUGAAGAACGCAAUGCUCGCUGAUAGUGAAUGUGAAUUGCAUGCUCGCUGAGAUCAUCGAAUCUUUGAACGCACAUUGCGCCCGCCAGCAUUCUGGCGGGCAUGCCUGUUCGAGCGUCAUUUCAACCAUCAAGCCCAUGCUCGCUGAUAGUGGACCUGCGGCUGCCGCAGGCCCUGAAAAGCAGUGGCGGGCUCGCUGUCGCACCGAGCGUAGUAGCAUACAUCUCGCUCUGGUCGCGCCGCGGGUUCCGGCCGUUAAACCACCUAUCGCUCGUAGGUUGACCUCGGAUCAGGUAGGAAGACCCGCUGAACUUAAUAGAUGUCGCUGAGAUGCUCGCUGAAGGAUCGUCGC